UACGAAGGGGGCUAGCGUUGCUCGGAAUCACUGGGCGUAAAGCGCACGUAGGCGGCUUCUUAAGUCAGGGGUGAAAUCCUGGAGCUCAACUCCAGAACUGCCUUUGAUACUGAGGAUCUUGAGUACGGGAGAGGUGAGUGGAACUGCGAGUGUAGAGGUGAAAUUCGUAGAUAUUCGCAAGAACACCAGUGGUGAAGGCGGCUCACUGGCCCGUAACUGACGCUGAGGCACGAAAGCGUGGGGAGCAAACAGG
rnacentral:rRNA from 1 species